CCUACGGGAGGCAGCAGUGAGGAAUAUUCUGCAAUGGGCGAAAGCCUGACAGAGCAAUACCGCGUGAGGGAUGAAGGUCCUCGGAUUGUAAACCUCUUUCAGCAGGGACGAAACGAAAGUGACGGUACCUGCAGAAGAAGCACCGGCUAACUACGUGCCAGCAGCCGCGGUAAUA
rnacentral:rRNA from 1 species